UACGUAGGGUGCAAGCGUUGUCCGGAAUUAUUGGGCGUAAAGAGCUCGUAGGCGGUCUGUUGCGUCGGCUGUGAAAACCCGGGGCUCAACCCCGGGCCUGCAGCCGAUACGGGCAGACUAGAGUUCGGCAGGGGAGACUGGAAUUCCUGGUGUAGCGGUGAAAUGCGCAGAUAUCAGGAGGAACACCCGUGGCGAAGGCGGCUCUCUGGAACGCAACUGACGCUGAGACGCGAAAGCGUGGGGAGCAAACAGG
rnacentral:rRNA from 1 species